ensembl:snRNA U6 U6 spliceosomal RNA
GUGCUCGCUUCGGCAGCACACGUACUAAAACUGGAACGAUACAGAGAUGAGUAUGGCCCCUGUGCAAGGAAGACACGCACAUUUGUGAAGCGUUCCAUAUUUAA